UGUCGCCACGGCGAUGGAUCCCGCCGGGACGCCACGCGCGCCCGAACCGCCACCCGGCUGAUGGUUCCUGUUCAUCA
rnacentral:ncRNA from 2 species